rnacentral:rRNA from 1 species
AUAUGUACCACUUGAUUAUCUCCUCAAUAGAUCAUAGAUUGRCAUGGUUUGAUGCGUCUUGAAAGUGCUACCAAAGCUAGUGAUAGUCUAGAAUUAUCAUGUCARUUUAUGACCGUUAGGGAAAUAAAUCAUACGAGUAGUGUAGGUCGAAAGUUCUGCAUGAAUAYGGGAGGUAUAUUUCUUCCAAAAUUUCUUUUAUAAUAUUGAURCAAAAACCGAUAGCAAACAAGUAGUGUGAACGAAAGUUGAAAAGUACUCUGAAGAGAGAGUGAAAUAGUGCAUGAAAUUGUAUUGUCGUAAGCUUGAUUUCUUAAUUUUAUGAUUGUGUGAUUGUGAUUGGAUGUCAUAUUAGUUGACAAAAAAUUACGUAUGUUGUGAAUCAAAGAAGURRUUUAUACGAGUUGAUGGUUUAUUUAGCGGUCUGUCUAUGAUAGAUUAGUUGAAUCAACCUGAAGUGAGUAUAGGUUCCUUCGAAACAAYGAAUCRACAUCAAGAAUCACAUACAAAAUUAAAUCAAGACCCGUCUUGAAACACGGACCAAGGAGUUUAACUUCCAAGCAAGUCAUUGAUAGAAUAACUAUCAAAGGCGAAGUGAAAGCGAUAUAAUCUUUAACAGAUUAGACCUUAACAUAUUUGAUAAGAGUCUAAGCUUAUAGGUUAAUACCCGAAAAAUAGCGAUCUAUUCGUGAGAUGAAUGAAGGCAGAGGAAACUCUGCUGAAAGUUCUUGAACUGUCCUGACGUGCAAAUCGGUUGUCAGACUUGCGAAUAGGGGCGAAAGACUCAUCGAGCUAUUUAGUAGCUGGUUCUCUCUGAAAUAUUCCUUAGAAUAGCUGUCGUUGGUYUAUAUAUUARACAAACAUUAACGUGAAGUAAAGAGAAUGAAUGGGAGUAUCGGAGUCCGAGUACUUUGACUCACUAUCAAACUUUUAAUAUGCGCUAUCUUCUARUUAUCCUAAUAGUAAUUAGAAGCUUUAUACAAUGUUUUUAAACGACAAGUGGGCCGUGGUUUGGUAAGCAGAUCAGGCAAAGCGAAUUCAAUCGUAAGUUAAAUUAAUGUUAACUAAGCGAUCCUUUAGUCUAGCUCAAAAGGUAUUGAUAUGUGAAGACAAUUGGUUGAUGGCCAUGGAAGUCGGCAUUCACUAAGAAGUGUGUAACAACUUACCAAUCGAAUGUAUUAGUCCUGAAAAUUAACGUUAAGUAAAGGGUUCAAUUAGAUUUAACUACUUGUGAUUUUUUAUAAUGAGUAUGUAAGAGAGUGUUGUGAUAGCUGUGAAGUUCCUGUGUGARUGGRGAUGGAGCUUUCAUAAGUACAGAUCUUGGUGGUAGUAGCAAUCACUCAAACGAGUUAUCAUAUACUUGACCUUCGGGUYAGGUGAUUUAAGCUUUGAGGAACGUAGUGGAUAAGGUUUCCGUGUGAUUAGCAAUUGAGCACGGGUUAGUCGGUCCUAAUGUGUGGUCCUAGCAUGACUGUUUAGYAAAACAUAGAAAGGGGAUCAGGUUAAUAUUCCUGAACUAUUAGUUUAAUUUAGAAUGGUURUYAYUUCGGURAUAGCAAAAGCGGUGACGCUAACUAUUUAACCUUUAACCUCCAAAUGAACCUUCGGAAGAGUUUUCUUCUCUUUUUAACAAGAUUAAAAAUCUAUYGAUUUCUCUUUCGGGAGUCACRAUUAGGUGGAUGACUAUGGAGUUUACGUAAAGUGGAGAAAUAGUCAUCGGACAUCUUGGAAUGCAUGUUUAAAAUUGUUGCUYUCGGGUAGCAAUUUAGACUUGGAAGUGUUUUAUUUGGAGCCUUAGAUAAAUUGUUCGAAGUAUAUU